GCAACAUCGNCUCGUGAGGACUGCUAGCACUUAGCCGGCUUUCUUUGCAAUUCCAGGUCUAUGUUUUUCAUAUACCCCAUUGUAUGUAACAGAAUGUAUCAUUGGGCCCUUGUGCCUAUAAACCUUAUACAACUUUCAGCAACGGAUCUCUUGGCUCUCGCAUCGAUGAAGAACGCAGCGAAAUGCGAUAAGUAAUGUGAAUUGCAGAAUUCAGUGAAUCAUCGAAUCUUUGAACGCACCUUGCGCUCCUUGGUAUUCCGAGGAGCAUGCCUGUUUGAGUGUCAUUAAAUUCUCAACCAUUAUCAACUUUUGCUGAUAAUGGCUUGGAUGUGGGGGUCUAUUUUGCUGGCUUCUCAGAUAGUCAGCUCCCCUUAAAUGCAUUAGCCGGUGCCCCGCGUGGACUGUCUAUUGGUGUGAUAAUUAUCUACGCUAUAGACAUCCGCAAUCAUAUGGGUUUGCGCUGCUUCUAACAGUCUGUUGAUUCAGACAAUACAUGACAAUUUGACCUCAAAUCAGGUAGGACUACCCGCUGAACUUAAGCAUAUCAAUAAGCGGAGGAA
rnacentral:rRNA from 1 species